rnacentral:piRNA from 1 species
UACCAACUCAACUACAUUUCUAGCCUGGUA